rnacentral:rRNA from 1 species
UCUUUAAAUAGGGAGUUGUAUCAACGGCAUCACGAGGGUUACACUGUCUCCUCUCUCCAAUCAGUGAAACUGAUCUCCCCGUGAAGAAGCGGGGAUAGACUAAUAAGACGAGAAGACCCCAUGGAGCUUUAAACCCACAGCAACUCUAACACCUUACCCCUCAUAACCAGUAGAGACAUGCACGUCGGCUUUAGGUUGGGGUGACCGCGGAGUAAAAUCAACCCUCCACGACGAAAAGAAGUAAAUCUUUAUCUAAGAGUGACCACUCUAAGAAUUAGCAUACUAACGAACAAUGACCCGAUAAUCGAUCAACGGACCAAGUUACCCUGGGGAUAACAGCGCAAUCUACUUCAAGAGCCCGUAUCAACAAGUAGGCUUACGACCUCGAUGUUGGAUCAGGGUACCCCGGUGGUGCAGCCGCUACUAAAGGGUC